AUCCGGGAGGCUAACAGCGGGUCAGACUGUCAAAAGAAGCCGAAAGCGAAGGCAUAUGCACAGUCAGCACAACAACACCACCAGCCCACCUGACUCGGGAGUGACGUUUUCUUCAACUUGUAGCACUCAGUGACUUCUUCUCGAAGCUACGCGAAAAUACAAGAGUUACCUGGUCCUGACGCAGGAGGCCUCCACGGCCUUGAUGAGGAUGUGUAGGGGCCUGAAUGAUCGCGCCCGCCCCACCACCCCCAAGCAACAGCGUCCGGAAUUUGAAGGGUGCUUGAAUUUGACCUUUAUGCAAACCCGCAUGCUGCCGUAUUAAGAAGGUGCGUCUAUAAGGAAACUAUUCAAGGUCUGCUCACUCAAUUGAGUCGCUUCAGUAACAAGCAAUAUGACAAGUGAUUAACAUAAUAUUAUGCAAGAUAAUGUAGCCACAUGAUUUGGUCUGACGGGCACAAUUAACCACUGUGCUGGGGGGCAGAACAUGCGGCAGAAAUUCAGUGGUAGUCCGAGAGGAAAAGAUGCCCCUGUACCACUCAGCUAAUAUGGGUAAAGGUGGUGGGUAUUCAUAUACACCCAAUGUAAACAUAGGAAGUCAUUUCACAUCAAUGAAGUGAUGAGGAUAAGCGGUAGAAAAUGAAUUAAUGAAUGUGCACUGGGGGGCGUACAACAAUGAAUCUCGCACACAAUAAAACUAAAAUAAAGUAAAAUUAUUCCAACAACAUGCAUGCUAGGUUAAUUGGCGACUCCAAAUUGUCCAUAGGUAUGAAUGUGAGUGUGAAUGGUUGUUUGUCUAUAUGUGCCCUGUGAUUGGCUGGCCACCAGUCCAGGGUGUACCCCGCCUCUCACCCGAAGACAGCUGGGAUAGGCUCCAGCAUACCCAUGACCCUCGUGAGGAUAAGCAGUGGAAAAUGAAUGAAUGAAUGUGCACUUGUGGGGGGGGGCGUACAACAAUGAAUCUCGCACACAAUAAAACUAAAAUAAAGUAAAAUUAUUCCAACAACAUGCAUACUAGGUUAAUUUGUGACUCCAAAUUGUCCAUAGCUGUAAAUGGUUGUUUGUCUAUUGGCUGGCAACCAGUCCAUGGUGUACCCCGCCUCUCGCCCAACGACAGCUGGGAUAGGCUCCAGCAUACCCGUGACCCUCGUGAGGAUAAGCGGUAGAAAAUGAAUGAAUGACCAGUCCACCAGUCCAUGGUGUACCCCGCCUCUCACCCGAAGAUAGCUGGGAUAGGCUCCAGCAUACCCAUGACCCUCGUGAGGAUAAGCGGUAGAAAAUGAAUAAAUGAAUGAAUGUGCACUUGUGGGGGGACGUACAACAAUGAAUCUCGCACACAAUAAAACUAAUAUAAAGUAAAAUUAUUACAACAACAUGCAUGCUAGGUUAAUUGGCGACUCCAAAUUGUCCAUAGCUGUGAAUGGUUGUUUGUCUAUUGGCUGGCAACCAGUCCAUGGUGUACCCCGCCUCUCGCCCAACGACAGCUGGGAUAGGCUCCAGCAUACCCGUGACCCUCGUGAGGAUAAGCGGUAGAAAAUGAAUGAAUGAAUGUGCACUGGGGGGCGUACAACAAUGAAUCUCGCACACAAUAAAACUAAAAUAAAGUAAAAUUAUUCCAACAACAUGCAUGCUAGGUUAAUUGGCGACUCCAAAUUGUCCAUAGGUAUGAAUGUGAGUGUGAAUGGUUGUUUGUCUAUAUGUGCCCUGUGAUUGGCUGCCCACCAGUCCAGGGUGUACCCCGCCUCUCACCCGAAGACAGCUGGGAUAGGCUCCAGCAUACCCAUGACCCUCGUGAGGAUAAGCAGUGGAAAAUGAAUGAAUGAAUGUGCACUUGUGGGGGGGGCGUACAACAAUGAAUCUCGCACACAAUAAAACUAAAAUAAAGUAAAAUUAUUCCAACAACAUGCAUACUAGGUUAAUUUGUGACUCCAAAUUGUCCAUAGCUGUAAAUGGUUGUUUGUCUAUUGGCUGGCCACCAGUCCAUGGUGUACCCCGCCUCUCGCCCCAAAGACAGCUGGGAUAGGCUCCAGCACCCCCGCAACCCUCAUGAGGAUAAGCGGUAGAAAAUGAAUGAAUGAUAAGGAGCUUCCAAGUAGAGCUUCAAAACAGAAGAUAGUUUGCAUAGAUUCUCACCAUAAACCCAAAAUAUUGAUCAUUUUUUUGGUAUAACAAAAUAAAAAAAAUAUGUAGGCAUCAAAUUGUGUAACACACUGUCCAAUCAAAACAGUUGUUAUUGUUUUCAUUGUCAAACCCAAUAACUAAAGCACACAAUUUAACUUUUAUUCAAAAAAUAAACAAUCAGCUCUUAAGUUUUUGCAGUUCUCUCGCCCUGGAGCAGGAGGCCUCCACAGCGUUGAUGAGGAGGCUGCGGAAACCGCCGUUUUCCAAUACGUGCAUGGCGUGAAUGGUGGCGCCACCUGGUGUGCACACUUUGUCCUUAAACAUUGCGGGGUGUUCCUCCCAGUCCAGAAGCAUUCGAGCUGCCCCCUUUGAGACAAGAAGAUCCAGAGAUUGUAUCAGCAUAGCGGUAAUUAUGUUGUUGGUGUUGGGUAUCUUGAUUGAUUGAUUGAUUGAUUGAUUCGCAAAAAUGUCGUUGUUGUCUGUGAGGAAAAGACGCUAGCUGUAAUGCACAUACCAACAUGGCUUGGGCUCCGACACGUACAGCGAGUCUCCUGGGAAGGCCCAUUUUCACACCUCCAUCAGCAAGGGCAUCUGCAGCUGUGAAUGCCUGGAAGACCACAAUCAGGGAUAAAGUGGGUUACCUCGUCCUAACGCAGGACGCCUCCACGGCGUUGAUGAGGAGGCUGCGGAAUCCGCCGCUUUCCAUCACGUGUAGGGCGUGAAUGGUGGCGCCCCCAGGUGAGCACACAUUGUCUUUGAGCUGUCCGGGGUGCUGCUCUGAGUCCAGGAGCAUUCGAUCUGCCCCCUUUGAGUGCAAAAACCACAAAAGGAGAUCAGACAUCGUAUCAGCUGAGUGCUAAUUACGACGUUUGUGUCAGGUGACUUUUCUCUACUGGAUUGAGGCAACAGCAUCCAGAAUUUGAAGGGUGCUUGAAUUUGACCUUAAUGCAAAACCACAUGCUGGGGUAUUAAGGAAACUCAUCUGAGUCGCUUCAAUAAUAAGAAAUAUGACAAGUGAUUAACAUAAUAUUAUGCAAGAUAAUGUAGCCACAUGAUUUGGUCUGACGGGCACAAUUAACCACUGUUCUGGGGGCAGAACAUGCGGCAGAAAUUCAGUGGCCCCUGUGCCGCAAGUGUGUUUUUUGGCUAAAGUACUAGGAAUUUCUAGGUAACGAGUAUACAUAAGUUACAGAUAAUGUUUUUUUUUUUGCUGGGUACAAGGAUGAAACGAAUAAAACUACGAAUAAGUACUGUCCCACUCAUGCUCAAGUGUUUAUUUCAUCAUGCGUUUAUUGUGUAAUCCUCACAAGAGGCUUGCCGCUUGUGUGCACCUUCUUAACCCGGUUUGUGUGCACCACUGUGGAAGCUUGUAUGCUUGUUUGCUUAUAACCGGGGUCCUUUUUGUGAUUGUGCUUUGACAACACAGCAUGGAUAGACUCAUUUGAAAAUAAAACUGGAAAACAUAUUAAAAAAGGCAUAAAGUAGAUACAAAAAAUGAAAUUUGGAGAAGAGUUGAUACUAAAAAGUCCAUCCAUGUGAAUUUCAGACUUAAGCCCUGCCCAUUUCCGGUUUAUGGUAAAUGUACAGAUACAGAUUCAGAUGAUUUUGAUGGGUGAACAGAGGUGUACUCGCUCAUCCCUAAUAUUAACCCUUGUUAAAUAUACAUUGGAUGUAGAGCAAAGUAGGGUGGCUAUAACAGUGGUGUGCCUGCUAGCUGUUUGAGCUCACGUGCACAUUAUUAUAUCAUUAUAAAGUUCGUAAAGUUGUAUUGUACUGUACACUAGGGUGCAUCAAAAAACACAAUUAUUGAAUUUUGAUAUGGCUGGGUACUAAAAGUGUUCCAAUAUAUGUAGAAACAACACAUACAAAAUAUUUUUCCAAUACAUGAUUAUUUAGGGGUGAUACAUACUGUUUUUGUGGAAGUGGUGAACAGUUCAAUGGUCGCCAUGGAGAUUUGAGGUCAGCAAAGACUGCAGCUCAAGAACUCUGAGGUGAUCUUUAUGUUCUUGUUGGUAUUUAUACUCCUAUUAUAUAUUACUAGCAAAUUUGCGGUUUUGUCUUUGUAAUUUGAAUGAUUUGUAGUCAUAUUUAUAGGUAUUUAGUGCUCAUUGCCUCUACUGUAGCUAACAUUAGCUAGCUACAGUUUGAUAACCCUAUUGAAAAUUAUGCUGUAUACAAGUUCAUUGUACUCAACAUUUCCAGGUCAACUUUUUGGCAAUUAGACUAGAAAUUGCACAUUUUCCGAAAAUUUACAAAAGUUUAUGUGUGAGGUGGCACAAGACAUUUUUAUGUUCAUUAGAAAAAAAUGGAAUGCCAGCCAAAUUGAUAUUUUGAAUUUAAAAUUUCCCAUUCAAAUUUGAUGCACCCUACUGUACACAAAAGAUUUUAUUCACAGAUUUUAUGCACUUACCAUCAUGGCUUGGGCUCCGAGGCGUACAGCGAGUCUCCUGGGCAGGCCCAUUUUCACACCUCCAUCAGCAAGCGCAUCCACAGCCGUGAAUGCCUGGAAGACCGCAGUCGGGGUUAGUGUGGAUUACACUUGAAAUUAUUUGAAAUCUGAUUUUUUUUUUAUUAUACAUAUUAUGUAAACAAACAUUCAUCUGUUAAUUCACACGCACCCACGUAAACAUCUCUUUUAGUGAACAUUUGUCUGUCUGUUCACGUAAAAAACAUAAGGGGAAGGAAGAGGCCUUGGAUUUAGGAACCUGAUUGCUAUGUCUAAAAUCAAUAAAGUGACUCACAUAAGCUGGUCCACUGCCACUAAGGCCCGUUACGGCGUCAAUCAGGUCCUCCUCCACCUCCGUACAGUAUCCGACACUGGCCAUCAGCUGCUCUAAGAGCUUUCCAUCCUCCACCUCGGCAUGGGUACCCGUGGCGUACACAGUAGCCCCUUCACGUACGACCACCGGAGUGUUGGUCAUGCAACGCAUCACCUUUGGAUUCGCGCGGUACUGCAGUAGCUUC